rnacentral:rRNA from 1 species
AACGAACGCUGGCGGCAGGCCUAACACAUGCAAGUCGAACGAGAUCUUCGGAUCUAGUGGCGGACGGGUGAGUAAACGCGUGGGAACGUGCCCUUCUCUACGGAAUAGUCCUGGGAAACUGGGUUUAAUACCGUAUACGCCCUUCGGGGGAAAGAAUUUCGGGGAAGGAUCGGCCCGCGUUGGAUUAGGUAGUUGGUAGGGGUAACUGGCCUACCGAAGCCGACGUAUCCAUAAGCUGGUUUCGAGAGGAUGAUCAGCCACACUGGGACUGAGACACGGCCCAGACUCCUACGGGAGGCAGCAGUGGGGAAU